UACGUAGGGGGCGAGCGUUGUCCGGAUUUAUUGGGCGUAAAGGGCUCGUAGGCGGUUUGUCGCGUCGGGAGUGAAAACACGGGGCUUAACCCCGUGCCUGCUUCCGAUACGGGCAGACUAGAGGUAUGCAGGGGAGAGCGGAAUUCCUGGUGUAGCGGUGAAAUGCGCAGAUAUCAGGAGGAACACCGGUGGCGAAGGCGGUUCUCUGGGCAUUACCUGACGCUGAGGAGCGAAAGUGUGGGGAGCGAACAGG
rnacentral:rRNA from 1 species